UAUGUAGGCAGCAAGCGUUGUUCGGAGUUACUGGGCGUAAAGGGUGCGUAGGCGGCUUUUUAAGUUUGGUGUGAAAUCUCCCGGCUCAACUGGGAGGGUGCGCCGAAUACUGAGAGGCUAGAGUGUGGGAGAGGAAAGUGGAAUUCCUGGUGUAGCGGUGAAAUGCGUAGAUAUCAGGAGGAACACCGGUGGUGUAAACGGCUUUCUGGACCAUAACUGACGCUGAGGCACGAAAGCGUGGGUAGCAAACAGG
rnacentral:rRNA from 1 species